GUGAAUCAUCGAAUCUUUGAACGCACAUUGCGCCCGCCAGCACUCUGGCGGGCAUGCCUGUUCGAGCGUCAUUUCAACCCUCUGCCGCCCCCCGGGGCGGCGGGCUCUUGGGGGACGGCCGGCCGCCUCGCGCGGCCGCGCCGCCCCCGAAAUGCAGUGGCGACCGAGCCGCGAACUCCUCUGCGCAGUAGACUUGAGGCCCCUGCGGCCGAACGAGACUCGCACCGGACAGCGGAUCGGCCCCGCCGUGAAACCCCAAACUUCUGAAAGGUUGACCUCGGAUCAGGUAGGAAUACCCGCUGAACUUAAGCAUAUCAAUAAGCGGAGGA
rnacentral:misc_RNA from 1 species